rnacentral:rRNA from 1 species
UGGGGAAUUUUGGACAAUGGGGGCAACCCUGAUCCAGCCAUGCCGCGUGCGGGAAGAAGGCCUUCGGGUUGUAAACCGCUUUUGUCCGGAAAGAAAAGGCGCCACCUAAUACGGGGCGUUCUUGACGGUACCGGAAGAAUAAGCACCGGCUAACUACGUGCCAGCAGCCGCGGUAAUACGUAGGGUGCGAGCGUUAAUCGGAAUUACUGGGCGUAAAGCGUGCGCAGGCGGUCCGCAAAGUCUGAUGUGAAAGCCCCGGGCUCAACCUGGGAACUGCAUUGGAAACUAACGGGCUCGAGUGUGGCAGAGGGGGGUGGAAUUCCACGUGUAGCAGUGAAAUGCGUAGAGAUGUGGAGGAACACCGAUGGCGAAGGCAGCCCCCUGGGCUAACACUGACGCUCAGGCACGAAAGCGUGGGGAGCAAACAGGAUUAGAUACCCUGGUAGUCCACGCCCUAAACGAUGUCAACUGAGUGUUGGGGAAGCGAUUCCUCAGUACCGUAGCUAACGCGUGAAGUUGACCGCCUGGGGAGUACGGCCGCAAGGUUAA